ACUCACGGCAUUUCAUUCACUU
rnacentral:miRNA from 1 species